UUCUCUUCUCAAUUACCUCAUUGACGUAUGUUUUACUGUCAGUUUGACAUGACAGAUUUACUCUAAACCAAUCCAUCACCUGCCUGCCAUCUGCAUCACGCCUUCAUUAGGAGCAUACUGAAAUCACCUGCGAGUAACCGAUUAAAAGCACCGAGGAGCAUGCAGCAACUCCUGCAUGCUGUAAUGACCAAAUCAUCCGUAGCAUGGCCUCGAACACGGUUGCAGGCUGCAGAGAGGAUGAUGAGGGAAA